ensembl:lncRNA
UCCAUAGGGUCCAGUAAAAUGUUGUCUACACUGUGCAAGCUCAAAUAUUUUAUAUUUUUGCCUUGUCAGAGACCAGCAAGAGAAUUGAUUUCACCAGCCACUUCCAGAGAGGGUGUUGAAGCUCUGCUUAUCAAGAUACUCUUUUACAGGGUAUAUUCAACUGUCAGGGAAGUUUGAGGUCCAUCAAGGAGACAAGAUCUUUACUAAGAAGAUUUUGGAGCUUGGAGAAACGAAUAUAUGAUGAUUUCUCUGAUCACCUACCCUGGAACAAUAUGUAUUUAAAAAUAUCAUUCAGCAUUCAUUCAGAGAGGAUGUUUGGGUUCUGUGUUCCAUCUGCUCAGCAGUCCUUGCUGUUUGUUCACUUCCUGUAUGCAGCUCGACAUCUCUUGUUUCUGUGGCCUGUCACCUUCCUCCGAUUCGCUAUUCAUUCCUUAAACUGCGGGUCAAAUGUCAUCUCUGCUUGUAAGCACCUCUUGGCCCUCCGAAAACUAUUACUCAGUCUUUUGAAAUAUUCUAUCUUGUUAAAGUGACCACUACUAUAAAAUUUUGAAAUAUCUACCUGUGCUUUAUUGCAGUCUUGCAUUUUAUUAUAACUGGUAACAUUUUUCAAGCCUAUAAAAGAUAGGUGGCAUUCAUUAGAAAAAAUAGAUCCUCUUCCUCAGAAAUUGAAUUGUCAUCAUUUAAACAGAUCACGGGUUAUAGCCUACAGUGAUUAUUUAAAUGCUCACCUUAGUAUGGAAAGAGUUUACUACAGAGGUUUCUUAAUUUUCUGACUUGUCAUUAUAGGGAUGAAUCAAUUCCUUCCUAUCUCUCAGUGUGGUCUCUGAAAACAUUGAUCUAAAAAGAUUAAGGAAAUCAAAGACUGCAUGCAGUAUGUGCUUCAAAGAAUAAGAAAUUUGAAGCUACGUUAACCAAUCUAUUGCUUAAAAAUUUUACCUAUUUUUAGACAUAAGAAUCUUUUUAUGUUCAAAUCAAA